rnacentral:rRNA from 1 species
CCUACGGGAGGCAGCAGUGGGGAAUUUUGGACAAUGGGGGAAACCCUGAUCCAGCAAUGCCGCGUGUGUGAAGAAGGCCUUCGGGUUGUAAAGCACUUUUGUCCGGAAAGAAAACUUCUGCCCUAAUACGGUGGGAGGAUGACGGUACCGGAAGAAUAAGCACCGGCUAACUACGUGCCAGCAGCCGCGGUAAUACGUAGGGUGCGAGCGUUAAUCGGAAUUACUGGGCGUAAAGCGUGCGCAGGCGGUUCGUUAAGACAGAUGUGAAAUCCCCGGGCUUAACCUGGGAACUGCAUUUGUGACUGGCGAGCUAGAGUAUGGCAGAGGGGGGUAGAAUUCCACGUGUAGCAGUGAAAUGCGUAGAGAUGUGGAGGAAUACCGAUGGCGAAGGCAGCCCCCUGGGCCAAUACUGACGCUCAUGCACGAAAGCGUGGGGAGCAAACAGGAUUAGAUACCCUGGUAGUCCACGCCCUAAACGAUGUCAACUAGUUGUUGGGUCUUCAUUGACUUAGUAACGUAGCUAACGCGUGAAGUUGACCGCCUGGGGAGUACGGUCGCAAGNUUAAAACUCAAAGGAAUUGACGGCNGAGAGNGCGAGACGACGACGAGGAGAG